GCGUAAGCGUCGCGUAGGCGGCUUUGUAAGUCAGAGGUGAAAUCCUGGAGCUCAACUCCAGAACUGCCUUUGAUACUGCAUCGCUUGAAUCCCGGAGAGGUGAGUGGAAUUCCCCGUGUAACGGUGAAAUUCCUAUAUAUUCGGAAGAACACCUAUGGCGAAGGCCGCUCACUGGACAGGUAUUGACCCUUAAGUGCGAAAGCGUGGGGACCAAACAGGAUUAAAUACCCUGGUAGUCCACGCCCUAAACGAU
rnacentral:rRNA from 1 species